UCAAAACCAAUUCCUCCUAUUUCUUCAUGGAUACAUCAAGCUUGAUUGAAACAAAUUUGAGCCUAUAAGAAUCUAUAUCACUCCAUUCAGCACUCACAAUUACAGCUACUUAAACAAAGCAAUAUCAGACAACUAAAAAACUAAACCAGAAAUAAAGAUCUUGGACAAUUCCGAACUUCAAUCCUCCAUUCGCGCUUAUUACUCAAAUCCAAUUUCAAACAAAAGAGUUUCACAGUCACAUACCUGGAAAAUAGAAAGACAAGAGAAAAGGAAAAGAGGUCAGUAGGUGCAAUAACAACAGCUUAGUGACAAAUUUAACAGCCCAGCAACGACUUAAUCACCACAGCACCAACUAUAGCAAAUUCAAAUCAUAGUAAUUUCAAUAACCAACCAAUAACAUUUUAGCAAUCAAAAACAGCUUGACUGAGUGCUUUCGAUCGAAAUACACCUUAAACUAACCCUCGGAAUUCCAUACCAAGGUACAACACCAACUGUUUGACCAAAUUAAGUCAUCAGAAACCAAAGAAUCACCCAAAACAGGACAAGCAAAUCUCUGAAACUAUGGUAAUCAGAAAUUGAACUAAAACAUGCAAACCAACAGCUGUAAGUUAAAAUUCACCUAAUGCUCGAUGGUACAGUAGUUUUCUUUUUGAAGUUUUCUAUUUUUUUUUCUUUUUAGGUUUUCUACAUGAAGAAAGUUAGGAUCUAAAGGAGUUUCAUAUCAGAAUUUUUGAAUUCCAGAUCUGGAAACUUGGAGAGUAUUAUUGGGGUGAUUUUUAG
rnacentral:lncRNA from 1 species